CACUGAAAAAAGUUUGAGAACCACUGCCCUAGAGCAACGCAUGGAAGGAGCAGAGAGUAGAAACGGUACAAAGGUACUCAACUUUUUCUACUACUUUUACACGACUUCACAGGCCCUCGCAUACAGGUGGCGGUUCGAGGGCCUUCACAGGCCAGGUCCUUGAAGGAUCCCUGGCCUUCACAGGCCCUCGCGUCCACGUGGCGGUGCAAGGGCCUUCACAGGCCAGGUCAUUCAAGGAUCCCUGGCC